UACGUAGGGUGCAAGCGUUGUCCGGAAUUAUUGGGCGUAAAGAGCUCGUAGGCGGUCUGUCGCGUCGGCUGUGAAAUCCCGAGGCUCAACCUCGGGUCUGCAGUCGAUACGGGCAACUGGAGUAGCUGCAGGGGAGACUGGAAUUCCUGGUGUAGCGGUGAAAUGCGCAGAUAUCAGGAGGAACACCGGUGGCGAAGGCGGGUCUCUGGGCCAUUACUGACGCUGGAGGAGCGAAAGCGUGGGGAGCGAACAGG
rnacentral:rRNA from 1 species